UAGUGCAGUAGAUUUAAGCUCUACAAAUAAAGGUUUGACCCUUUAUUAGAAAAUAUUUAUUAAUGGCAACAUGAUCAAAUUUAUCUCUUCAAGAUGGAGCUUCACCAUUAAUGGAGCAAUUAUCAUUCUUUCAUGAUCAUACUAUGGUCGUAUUAUUAUUAAUUACAGUAAUUGUAGGUUAUGCCCUAAGUUAUAUAUUAUUUAUUGCCUAUACUAACCGUAAUAUACUUCAUGGACAUUUAAUUGAAACAAUCUGAACAGCUUUACCAGCAAUUACAUUAAUUUUUAUUGCCCUUCCAUCAUUACGACUAUUAUAUUUACUUGAUGAUUCAGUAGAUGCAAUAAUUACAAUUAAAACCAUUGGACGACAAUGAUAUUGAAGAUAUGAAUAUUCAGACUUCAUAGACAUAGAAUUUGACACUUAUAUAACACCAGAACAAGACCUAGAAAAUGAUGGAUUCCGACUACUAGAUGUAGAUAACCGAACAAUCCUACCAAUAAAUACAGAAGUACGAGUAUUAACAAGAGCAUCAGAUGUUCUACACUCAUGAGCAGUUCCUGCAUUAGGGGUUAAAAUUGAUGCAACGCCAGGUCGGUUAAAUCAAGGAACAUUCACAAUAAAUCGACCUGGAUUAUUCUUUGGACAAUGCUCAGAAAUCUGUGGAGCAAACCACAGAUUUAUACCAAUUGUAAUUGAAAGAACUUCAGUAAAUUUAUUUAUUAAGUGAUUAUCUAAGAUAAUUUAA